rnacentral:rRNA from 1 species
CCAGACUCCUACGGGAGGCAGCAGUGAGGAAUAUUGGUCAAUGGACGGAAGUCUGAACCAGCCAUGCCGCGUGCAGGAAGACGGCUCUAUGAGUUGUAAACUGCUUUUGUACAAGGGUAAACCUGAAUACGUGUAUUCAGCUGAAAGUACUGUACGAAUAAGGAUCGGCUAACUCCGUGCCAGCAGCCGCGGUAAUACGGAGGAUCCAAGCGUUAUCCGGAUUUAUUGGGUUUAAAGGGUGCGUAGGCGGGGUGUUAAGUCAGGGGUAAAAGCCGGGGCCUCACCCCCGGCGAGCCGUUGAAACUGGCUGUCUUGAGAUGUCGAGAGGUAUGCGGAAUGCGCAGUGUAGCGGUGAAAUGCUUAGAUAUUGCGCAGAACUCCGAUUGCGAAGGCAGCAUACCGGCGGCGAUCUGACGCUGAGGCACGAAAGCGUGGGUAUCGAACAGGAUUAGAUACCCCUGUACCC